rnacentral:rRNA from 1 species
GGUCGUUUCCCGAAAGGACGAAACCCAUUCGGCGCAAUGAAAGUGAAGACGAACCUCGCGUUCGUUGUAGCGGGAUCCGCUAAUGAAAAAAGGGUGACAUAUGUCUGUAAGCAACCCUGCGGCGCACCGCUGGCCCGUCUCGUCCGCAACGUCGGUGAGGCGGAGCUCGAGCGUACACGUUGGGACCCGAAAGAUGGUGAACUAUGCGUGGGCAGGACGAAGCCAGAGGAAACUCUGGUGGAGGUCCGUAGCGAUUCUGACGUGCAAAUCGAUCGUCAGACCUGUGUAUAGGGGCGAAAGACUAAUCGAACCAUCUA